rnacentral:pre_miRNA from 1 species
CAGAAGAUAAUACUCAUCCCAAAAUAUUCAAAUUUUAACUGUUCGUAUUAUUUAAUUUUUUUUAUGAUUAGUAUUUUUAUUGUUAUUAGAUAAUAAAACAUGAAAAGUACUCUAUGUGUGACUACUUUUUUUUUAUUUUUUUCAUAAAUUUUUUAAAUAAGACAUACGAUCAAACGUUAGACACGAAUAUUUACGACUGCACUUAUU